rnacentral:rRNA from 1 species
GAAAAGGGUAUUAAAGCUGAAGAUGUUAAGAAUUUACCUCCUAUUGAAGAAAUACACGGUCUUAAUUCACCGCCUGUUGAAGAAACAUAUGAUCUUAAUCCCUCACCUAUUGAAGAAACUCAUGGUCUUGAUAACCCGACACAGGUAGUAAAGGUAAAUUCUCUCUAUAGAUAUGAUAAAGCUGAAAUCCCAUUUACUAAGUUUGCUAGCCCAUGCUUAGAUGAGUUUGAUAAAUUUAUGGUUAAGCAAGAAUACUUUAAUGGUUAUUUUGGUAGACAAUUGAAAUACAAUUCAAAUAUGCUUGAACACUUGGGUGAUUAUAUGGCUAACGUCAAAGGUGAACUUAUACGUAUUAGUAAACAUGCUUCUAUGGUUACCACUCAAGUAGAACAAGUACUUAAGGCUCAAAAUGAUUUGCUCAAUGAAUUGAAUAGUAAGAAUAAUGAUAAUGUUGUUAGAGUUAUGACU